GAAAUAUAUGAGAAUGUAAAUGAUGGUCAUUGCUGAGUGGUAGCAUUGCAGUUUUUUCUGUCUACAUUUCUAUAAUCUCCAAAUAGGCUUCUGUAACUUCUUAAUAAUCAGAAGGAAAUAAUCCUUGAAGAAAGAGCAAAGACCUCUUCCAAGUAUGUAUCCAUCUCACAGUAUAUUCAAUGACUGUUCCUCAGUUGAUCUCAGAGGUGUUAGUAGCUUACCUGUUCCCCAUUUUCCCUUCUGUUGAAUAAAAAACAAAACUUUCUUACUUUCUAGGUAAAUGUCAAAGAGUUUGACCCCAAAUAUGCUCAUAUCCAAGUCACUUAUGUGAAGCCCUACUUUGAUGAUAAAGAACUCACAGAAACAAAAACUGAGUUUGAAAGAAACCAUAAUAUCAACAGAUUUGUUUUUGAGGCUCCUUAUACAUUGUCAGGCAAAAAGCAAAGUUGUAUAGAAGAACAGUGUAAAGGCCGUACAAUCUUGACUACUUCAAACUCAUUUCCAUAUGUGAAGAAGAGGAUUUCUAUAAACUAUGAACAGCAGAUUCAUUUAAAGCCAAUUGAUGUUGCCACGGAUAAAAUAAAGCUGCAGAGCUGCAAAAGCUUUGCUCUUCUGCUGACGUGGACAUGAUUCAGCUCCAGCUUAAAUUGCAGGGCUGUGUUUCAGUGCAGGUAAAUGUAGGUCCAUAAGCAUAUGCCAGGGCUGUCUUAAAUGAUAGUCAAACUAGCAAGUAUCCACCCAAAAAAGUAAAUGAGUUGAAAGACAUGUUUAGGUAA